rfam:Rhodnius prolixus Rhodnius_prolixus-3.0.3-9.39, whole genome shotgun sequence.
AACGGAUUGGCAGUGUGGUUAGCUGGUUGUGUAAAAUUUGGCGUCACGCCACUAUCUUCACUGCCACUCCGAC